AGACUAUUUCUUCUAAUGAGGACAAGCAAUUUGAGGCCUUUGAAUCCUUCUUGCUAUUGAUAUGGAAUCCAGAGAAGAGCAGCAGCCACAAGAGCUGACCUCCAGCUGCCACCUGGACUGUCACCAAUUCUCUUAAAUGGAAGUCUCCAGGCUGCCAAUGCCAUAGCUCACUGGAAUUGGAACACAUCAGAGGAUGAAUGGCUGUGUAGUCUAACAAUAGCCACCUGCAAACUGAAGAGGCUGAGAACUCAGGAGCUAAUCAUUUACAAGGAUGGAUGCUGCCACAGUCCCAAUCUGAUUCUGAAGGCCUGGGGAGUUUCAGGAGAGCUGGUGGUCUUUAGUUCACAAUGGGAGGGAGGAAGCAAGAAGUGGAAUACUGUGUCAGUGGAAAAUGGCAUCAGGAGAUGCGCAUGACCAUCAAUGUUCAUAAACAUCUGUGACUGCAUAAAUGAUGAGUCCUCUUAUGUGGAUGGUACACAUGAACACUGGAACAAGACUGGUAUAGAUUUAUUUAUAAUGUUCUCCCUUCUGACAUUUAUGCUUUAGAUUAUUUAUAUAAAAUAUCAGAUCUACAAAAUAUUCUAAUCUACAGCUGGAUGUCAUAUAGUCAAAAAUAUAAAACAAGCAUUAUAGGAGCAAGUUAAUAAAAAAUUUAAACAUGA